rnacentral:rRNA from 1 species
AUUGAACGCUAGCGGGAUGCCUUACACAUGCAAGUCGAACGGAGUGGCGAACGGGUGAGUAAUGUAUCGGAACGUGCCCAGUAGCGGGGGAUAACUACGCGAAAGCGUAGCUAAUACCGCAUACUAUUGGAGCGGCCGAUAUCGUAUUAGCUAGUUGGUGGGGUAACGGCUCACCAAGGCGACGAUCCGUAGCUGUGUUGAGAGUACGACGAGCCACAAUGGGACUGGAACACGGCCCAGACUCCUACGGGAGGAAGCGGUGGGGAAUUUUGGACAAUGGGGGAAAACCUGAUCCAGCCAUCCCGCGUGUGCGAUGAAGGCCUUCGGGUUGAAAAGCACUUUUGGCAGGAAAGCGGUACCUGCAGAAUAAGCACCGGCUAACUACGUGACAGCCGCCGCGGUAAUUC